CAGAGCGGCCAAGUCCAGAGAGCUUCAGAGGGAGUUCAAACUCAGAAGAUCUGACUUUGUCAACUCUUUACAGACCUACCUACCUAGGACUACUUUUUUGAGACUGGAAAAGGGACCUUUGGAAAGAGAGCUUCAUCAUGGAAGGAGAAAGUGCUUGGAGGUUCUUCACAGGAGAGAUGGUCUUGUAUGCUGAGUGACCGGUGACACACUGAACCAGGAUGGGUAAAAAUACAUUCUUGUGAAAAAUAAACACGGCUGUCUCACUGUUGGCUGACUGAAGCACGACGAUUAACUAGAGCUGGGCGAAUUCUGUGUAGUUCAGUGUGAACUUGCCAGUUCUCUGACGGUUUCAUCUCCACCAUCCCUCUGACUGGCCAACGUUUAUUCCAGAUACUGGGCGCUUGCUCUGUUACCAAGAGCAGCAGCAAGGAAGAGCAGCAGGAGCAGGACACUGAGGUACCGCGGCAGGAAGCAGCAGUGGGAAGCGUGACGUCUUUACCCAGGUGUUGGCUGCCAGAGGUAAGAGAUCCUCGGCCCGGGGUUGGCGAGGGUGGGAAUUAGCACAUGGUAGUUUAGGGUUAAGUAUGUGCUCAUGCACACACAUGGAGCAGUUGUGGAGAGCAGCUGAGGCCAUGAAGGAAAUUCAUACCAAUUUGGGUUAGCCCACAUUUUGUCAUGUUACCAAAAAUAUUCUGUAAAUAAAUAUAUUAAUGGGCCACUUGUAGAUAGCA
rnacentral:lncRNA from 1 species